rnacentral:rRNA from 1 species
AUUGAACGCUGGCGGCAUGCCUUACACAUGCAAGUCGAACGGCAGCACGGGGCAACCUGGUGGCGAGUGGCGAACGGGUGAGUAAUGCAUCGGAACGUACCUUUCAGUGGGGGAUAACGUAGCGAAAGUUACGCUAAUACCGCAUAUUCUGUGAGCAGGAAAGCAGGGGAUCGCAAGACCUUGCGCUGAUUGAGCGGCCGAUGUCAGAUUAGCUAGUUGGUGAGGUAAAGGCUCACCAAGGCGACGAUCUGUAGCGGGUCUGAGAGGAUGAUCGGCCAGACUGGAAAGGAGACCCGGUCCAGACUCCUACGGGAGGCAGCAGUGGGGAAUUUUGGACAAUGGGGGCAACCCUGAUCCAGCCAUGCCGCGUGAGUGAAGAAGGCCUUCGGGUUGUAAAGCUCUUUCGGCCGGGAAGAAAUCGCACGGGCUAAUACCCUGUGUGGAUGACGGUACCGGAAUAAGAAGCACCGGCUAACUACGUGCCAGCCGCCGCCGUAAUAC